AGGCCAGUAGUGGAUACAGUUUGUUGUUCGCCGUUCGUCAUUGUCAUAAUUAGGCAAGAAGUAUGCAAGUAGAAUGCUUCUGUUAUCAGCUCCUUGACAUACUUUAAAAAGCAAUCUGACGACGCGAGGCGGGCGUGCCGUGCUGCAGAAAUACGUGGACGUUGAUAGGUAACUGGGCCACGACUUACCCCUUAGCAACGGACGACAAAGAGGAAGACCAUGGGAAGAGUGCAUAAAGUUUACAUCUGGAUGCCAAAAGGAGGUUCUUUUGGUCACGCCUCCUUGGAGAUGAGCAGCGGCGAAUAUGUCAGCUGGUGGCCACGUGGAGGCAAAAAAGGGAAAUCCAAAUGCGGGAUAGGUAAGAAGUCUUCCAUAACCAACUCCAGCCUUAAGGAAGAUAUUCGCGAGAUGGAACGUGAGCCGACUCAUACAUUUACUAUACCGGAGGAAAAAUUAGAUGAAGAAGAAAUGAAGAAUAAGUGGGACAGUUGGUUUACUAGCGGUCAUUACAGUCUUUUCGGUUCAAAUUGUUGCUGGGUUGUCUACAAGGUCCUGCGUGCAGGUGGGGCACCAGUCAGUGCAACCAUACUAUGGAGACCAGAGACUCUGCGUCGAUACUUGGCUACUUACCUGGGUGGUGCAUGGGGAAUUACAACAUUUUAUAACUUACCUUUUUCUGAUAUGUUUUGUUAGAUGGUAUUUUGUUAUCAGGUCAGGUAUUAGCAUUGUAGGCCUGGCAACCUAUCCUGAGAGCAUCUCCGUAUUAAACAUAAUUAUAUCAUUGUCACAAACUGAAGUAAAAGCAAGACAUGUUUAAUAUUUUCAAGAGUUUUUGUUCAUUAUAAUCUACAUGUACAUGCGCACACGCUAUUUUAUGUAACCGUUACGAUUUUGUUCAAGACAGAAAGUCUUGUCAUUUGUUUUCUAUAACGAUGGUAUGUUUUAACAUGUCUGCGUGAAUCACCUCAUUUCGAAACAUAAUGGCACUUUGAUCAUUAUGACUGAGACCAACAUUUUAAUCUUUUUGGUCUGUUUAGGCGGGGUAUUUUUAGUGCUCACAGGAAAAUAUUGUCAUGUGGUAGAAGUGAAUGUUUUAGGCUAAUUUGUGGUGAUUGUCAGUGGUAGUAAAUAAGUGAGGUGUUGUGAACAGUUUUCAGUGGUACUUAAUAAUUAAACACUCUUGUGUCUCAAAGAACACGACAGUGUUGAUGGAUCUCGUUUCGGGAUGGGUACAGAUGUUUCUAGAAGUCUGGAUGUACCUGUGUAAGUGCGACACGAGGACGAUUUUCUUAGAUACUUAUCAAGUGCAGACGUGAUAUCUUAUAAAACACAUAUUGCUAACAGCUUCCACUUUAUGACAUUUGCGAGCACACUUUUAUCAAUUGUAUGCUUGAUACAUAUCGCAACUACAACAUAUUUGUGAUCCACAGAGUUGCCUUUUUAUGAUUGUGUAGCUCAAUCUGUGUUUCAUGAUAAUGUAUUGAUUAUUCAUUGAUGUUGUGUGGUCAUGCAUUAAUUUCACAAGGUAUUUCUGUACAUACUUAUUUCUGGGUUAACCUUUAUGUUUCAAUUUGGAAAUCAUGUAAUAAAGUCAAUUUCAUAAUGCU